GGUUAAGCGACUAAGCGUACACGGUGGAUGCCCUGGCAGUCAGAGGCGAUGAAGGACGUGCUAAUCUGCGAUAAGCGUCGGUAAGGUGAUAUGAACCGUUAUAACCGGCGAUUUCCGAAUGGGGAAACCCAGUGUGUUUCGACACACUAUCAUUAACUGAAUCCAUAGGUUAAUGAGGCGAACCGGGGGAACUGAAACAUCUAAGUACCCCGAGGAAAAGAAAUCAACCGAGAUUCCCCCAGUAGCGGCGAGCGAACGGGGAGCAGCCCAGAGCCUGAAUCAGUGUGUGUGUUAGUGGAAGCGUCUGGAAAGGCGCGCGAUACAGGGUGACAGCCCCGUACACAAAAAUGCACAUGCUGUGAGCUCGAUGAGUAGGGCGGGACACGUGGUAUCCUGUCUGAAUAUGGGGGGACCAUCCUCCAAGGCUAAAUACUCCUGACUGACCGAUAGUGAACCAGUACCGUGAGGGAAAGGCGAAAAGAACCCCGGCGAGGGGAGUGAAAAAGAACCUGAAACCGUGUACGUACAAGCAGUGGGAGCACGCUUAGGCGUGUGACUGCGUACCUUUUGUAUAAUGGGUCAGCGACUUAUAUUCUGUAGCAAGGUUAACCGAAUAGGGGAGCCGAAGGGAAACCGAGUCUUAACUGGGCGUUAAGUUGCAGGGUAUAGACCCGAAACCCGGUGAUCUAGCCAUGGGCAGGUUGAAGGUUGGGUAACACUAACUGGAGGACCGAACCGACUAAUGUUGAAAAAUUAGCGGAUGACUUGUGGCUGGGGGUGAAAGGCCAAUCAAACCGGGAGAUAGCUGGUUCUCCCCGAAAGCUAUUUAGGUAGCGCCUCGUGAAUUCAUCUCCGGGGGUAGAGCACUGUUUCGGCAAGGGGGUCAUCCCGACUUACCAACCCGAUGCAAACUGCGAAUACCGGAGAAUGUUAUCACGGGAGACACACGGCGGGUGCUAACGUCCGUCGUGAAGAGGGAAACAACCCAGACCGCCAGCUAAGGUCCCAAAGUCAUGGUUAAGUGGGAAACGAUGUGGGAAGGCCCAGACAGCCAGGAUGUUGGCUUAGAAGCAGCCAUCAUUUAAAGAAAGCGUAAUAGCUCACUGGUCGAGUCGGCCUGCGCGGAAGAUGUAACGGGGCUAAACCAUGCACCGAAGCUGCGGCAGCGACGCUUAUGCGUUGUUGGGUAGGGGAGCGUUCUGUAAGCCUGCGAAGGUGUGCUGUGAGGCAUGCUGGAGGUAUCAGAAGUGCGAAUGCUGACAUAAGUAACGAUAAAGCGGGUGAAAAGCCCGCUCGCCGGAAGACCAAGGGUUCCUGUCCAACGUUAAUCGGGGCAGGGUGAGUCGACCCCUAAGGCGAGGCCGAAAGGCGUAGUCGAUGGGAAACAGGUUAAUAUUCCUGUACUUGGUGUUACUGCGAAGGGGGGACGGAGAAGGCUAUGUUGGCCGGGCGACGGUUGUCCCGGUUUAAGCGUGUAGGCUGGUUUUCCAGGCAAAUCCGGAAAAUCAAGGCUGAGGCGUGAUGACGAGGUACUACGGUGCUGAAGCAACAAAUGCCCUGCUUCCAGGAAAAGCCUCUAAGCAUCAGGUAACAUCAAAUCGUACCCCAAACCGACACAGGUGGUCAGGUAGAGAAUACCAAGGCGCUUGAGAGAACUCGGGUGAAGGAACUAGGCAAAAUGGUGCCGUAACUUCGGGAGAAGGCACGCUGAUAUGUAGGUGAAGUCCCUUGCGGAUGGAGCUGAAAUCAGUCGAAGAUACCAGCUGGCUGCAACUGUUUAUUAAAAACACAGCACUGUGCAAACACGAAAGUGGACGUAUACGGUGUGACGCCUGCCCGGUGCCGGAAGGUUAAUUGAUGGGGUUAGCGGUAACGCGAAGCUCUUGAUCGAAGCCCCGGUAAACGGCGGCCGUAACUAUAACGGUCCUAAGGUAGCGAAAUUCCUUGUCGGGUAAGUUCCGACCUGCACGAAUGGCGUAAUGAUGGCCAGGCUGUCUCCACCCGAGACUCAGUGAAAUUGAACUCGCUGUGAAGAUGCAGUGUACCCGCGGCAAGACGGAAAGACCCCGUGAACCUUUACUAUAGCUUGACACUGAACAUUGAGCCUUGAUGUGUAGGAUAGGUGGGAGGCUUUGAAGUGUGGACGCCAGUCUGCAUGGAGCCGACCUUGAAAUACCACCCUUUAAUGUUUGAUGUUCUAACGUUGACCCGUAAUCCGGGUUGCGGACAGUGUCUGGUGGGUAGUUUGA
rnacentral:rRNA from 1 species